AAAUUGAAGAGUUUGAUCAUGGCUCAGAUUGAACGCUGGCGGCAGGCCUAACACAUGCAAGUCGAACGGUAACAGGAAACAGCUUGCU
rnacentral:rRNA from 3 species